CGUUCUACAACUCCCACAAUCUCGUUUCAUAGCAGACGACGAAAUCAAAUGUCUGUAGGCCUGGGCUGUAUGGAAAUCAUCUACAAAACUGGAAAACUUUGCUUCCUUUGUUGAUCAACCACAGUUGUUGCUUCAGUCUUUGAAUGAGGUUCUAUCACCUCUGUACCUUGUGGGAACCAGUGUCCUGGAUGGGGUGCGGAUGAUGUGGACAUGCAGAAAGUAUACAUUGGUUGUACUGGUUGUCUUCAUCAUAAUUACAGUCGCUACAGCUUCAAGGAUUUUUUCGAGAGAUCCACCAAAUGACCUCCUCCCUUGUCAUGAAAUUACGCCGUCGUUCUUACCACCAUAUCGGUCUGACACUAUAUCACUCAAGCCUUGCAACUUGGACUAUGAUUACAACCUGUCCAACUGUAUAAUGACUCAUCAAGAUUCGACGGUCGCAUCUCAUUCUAAUUCUAAUCGAUCUGAUGAAAGUGAAAGCUUUCACUGUUUCCGAAAUUCAGCAGAUAAUGAACAUGUGUGGGAGUUGAGACAUAACUGUGUAAAUACACACAUGACACACAUUCACGUGAUAUGAUCGCGUGCUUCAUUGACGGUAGUGAUAAGCAAUACAAUGUCGGGGAUAACCUAUCAUGUAGGCCUACAGCUGAUAAGUGAGUUUGGAAUACAUGUCAACAUUAUUUGCAAACCCACCGUGUGUGAGUGCCCUUCCUCCCCGAGCACUUCAGUCCAUGUUGUUGUGUAACUUUAUAUAACAGAAGAUCACAAUCACAGUACAGUUGUUAGUUUGAAAUAUUUGUUGUUGCUUUGAUUCUUUGUUGUACAGUCAUUAAUAAUAUCUGCACCCGUCGUUUUAUGCAAGAAAAAUUCGGAAAUUAUGCAAACUGACCCUAAAAAUGUGAAAUUAUGCGCUUCUGUUAAUUUUAACAAAGAAAGAUAAAGAAAAAUAAU